AGCUUUAGGUUCUAUCUAAGGUGACGCCUGCCCAGUGCGAUUUGUUAACGGCCGCAGUACCCUGACUGUGCUAAGGUAGCAUAAUCAGUUGGCUUUUAAAUGGAGUCGGGAAUGAAUGGAUUUUUGGGGUUAAGCUGUCUCUUUUGCAUUAAUUUGAAUUUUUUUAUUAGGUGAAAAUACCUAAGAUUAGAAAAAAGACGAGAAGACCCUAGGAGUUUUUACUAAUAGAAUUAAACUUACGUUUUUGUUGGGGCGACAGGAGAAGAGUAUAAACUUCUUUUAACUAUUAGCCGACAUAGGUAUGAAAAAAUAAACUACCCUAGGGAUAACAGCGUAAUUCUUUUUGAGUUUGCGACCUCGAUGUUGGACUAGGAAUUUGGUAGGUUAGCCGCCUAUUUAUAUUGUUCUGUUCGAACUUAAUUUCCUACAU
rnacentral:rRNA from 1 species